ACUUAACCACAAGACAACUGUGAUGCCUCAGGUCAAAGGACUACUUUGCAUUAUCUCAACCAUGAGUUCUCAUGUGACAUGAAUAUGAGAACUCUUCGUUGAUCGUGUUCAGUGAACUCAUUCUCUAUUGAGCACCUACGUACUUGUCUUGAUGUCACACACACCAAUGACUCGAGACUAGUCACUCUUCCUGAGAGAAGACACAGGACGUACUGAUCUUAACGGACUGUCAAUGCCCAAUUGGCAAUCCUAUGAUCAGGAACGUUUAGGAUGUGUCUACGAAAGAAUGGUCUCAUGAAUCUAACUUCUUUAAAUCGUAUUCUUCCAAUCACAUAUUCCUUGGACUUAUCGUUUAAGCAUAUAACAUUUAUAUGAGACGACUCAAACAAUAAUCUUUGCCCUUUAUAUUUAAACUAGAUUAGUUUAACAUGUGAAAUGUCCGUAAAGUAUCAUCACAUGAUUGGUUUUAGGGCACAUUUCCAACACCUGUGUGUCCAUAACACCAUUUCACAUAUAUGCAUCAAAUACUAACUCAUAUAUUUCAUAUCAUAUGCAUGCACGACAUUUUAAAACAUACUUUCAUUUAUAUUCAAUUUCUGGGAAAAAUCAGUAGUAUAUAGGUAUAAACAAAAAAUAACUGCCCACUCACUGGUAUGUCGAAGGGUCGUAACCCCCGUGACGCCCUUGAACGCGCUCAUCCUCGGGAUAGGUCUCAUCUAUAUGCGAAACAACGGAGAAAAUCCAAGAAAACCGGCCAACUUCGAACCCUACGAUCCCGAUGUCCAAAACCUUCAAACUAAGUACUCCGAGCUUCCUUGGGACCUCACUAAGCUCCCUGUAAGCUUAUAAUUCCCUUUUUGAUGUCGAUCUGUGAUGUUUUGAGGGGGUUUGGUUCUUUUCCGUACGAGUUCGAGAUGGAGAGAGAGGAAGAGAGAACUGAGAGGGAAGAGAGAGAGGGCACGGGAUAGGAUAGAGGGUGUGAGGUUUGUUUUGAGUGUGUGUGUCCUUCCCCUAACCACACAAAAUGCAAACCAAUUUUUAAUCCAACUCAAUUUUUCCAAAAACUUAGGAAUGUAUGAAUUAUUCAAAUGAAACAAGUCACACAUACCUUAGUAACCUUUAAGGGUAAUUCCGUCAAAUCACAUCCACGAUAAAAGGAAUUUCAGGACGGGCUGUGACAAAAAUUGCUGCAAAAAAAAAUUAAAAAAUACCAAAACUUUCCAAUUGUCAUUUUAAAUAAAUAAGUGGGGUAUUAUCGGCGCCUAAUGUUAUUAUUACUAUUUUUUAAGCAUUUUGCUCCUAAUAUUAUUUGUUUUAAAUAAUUCUUUUUAUUUUUGUGCAAA
rnacentral:lncRNA from 1 species